rnacentral:rRNA from 1 species
GACGAACGCUGGCGGCGUGCCUAAUACAUGCAAGUAGAACGCACAGUUUAUACCGUAGCUUGCUACACCAUAGACUGUGAGUUGCGAACGGGUGAGUAACGCGUAGGUAACCUGCCUGGUAGCGGGGGAUAACUAUUGGAAACGAUAGCUAAUACCGCAUAAUAUUAAUUAUUGCAUGAUAAUUAAUUGAAAGGUGCAAUUGCACCACUACCAGAUGGACCUGCGUUGUAUUAGCUAGUAGGUGAGGUAACGGCUCACCUAGGCGACGAUACAUAGCCGACCUGAGAGGGUGGUCGGCCAGACUGGGACGGAGACACGGCCCAGACUCCUACGGGAGGGAGCAGUAGGGAAUCUUGGGCAAGGGGCGAGAGUCUGACCGAGCAACGCCGCGGGAGUGAAGAAGGGUUUCGGGUCGGAAAGCUCGGUUGUAAGGGAAGAACGGGUGUGAGGGUGGAAAGUUCACACUGUGACGGUAUCUGACGAGAAAGGGACGGCUAACUACGUG